rnacentral:rRNA from 1 species
UAGUAGGUGCAAGGCGUAGUCCGGUAAUUCGAUUGGUGCGUAAAGAGCUCGUAGGCGGUCUGUCGCGUCUGCUGUGAAAACUCAGGGCUUAACCCUGAGCUUGCAGUGGGUACGGGCAGACUAGAGUGCGGUAGGGGAGACUGGAAUUCCUGGUGUAGCGGUGAAAUGCGCAGAUAUCAGGAGGGAACACCGGUGGGCGAAGGCGGGUCUCUGGGCCGUAACUGACGCUGGGAGGAAGCGGAAA